rnacentral:lncRNA from 1 species
GAAAUGGCAGCUGGCCCUGUUUGGGAAUUGGCUGCUACACAAACAGGAUGCAGAAGGGGUUGGGGUUUGGGCUGUUACUGUCGGCACCUCCGCUCCCCAGAGCAGAGCUGGGAAACGCCCGAGCAGCACUCAACAGCACAGAGCGUUUCUUUAACAAAGGAAGAAGAACAAGGGAAGCAAGGUUUGGUUCCACAAAUAGAUGAGCUUCCUGCAAACGGUGCCAGAAAGACAGCAGGGUUCUCAUUUAAGUGGCUCUCUGCCCUAAGCUUAAGCAAAGCUCGUGUCAGAUAUCAGCUAAAAAAAAAUAAUAAUAAUAAUAGAAUCUGCCUCUUACCUGACAUACUUGGAGAGUGGAGGCUUCAGGCUGUGCGUGGUCGACAUCCCUGAGGAAAUGUACCUGUCUCUUCUUCUCUCGAUCCGCCGCACGUUCACAAAAUCCCUGAGCAAAGAAAGGGCAACGACAGCUUUGAAACGUGCGUGAGACUUUGAAGGAGCAGAUCACACGCCUGGGGCUGCUGGGAAAGGCUGCGGCAGAGGACGGUGUUCAGAGGCUCAGGACAAAACAGCCCAAGAAACCGACCUGGGGGAAACGACGCCGCCUGCGGCCCCGGCUGCCACGUCGUACGAAACGAUCGUGUUGUCUUCAACCCUCUGCAAGACCUGGGAGAAAGGAAAGAGAGACCUCUUCAGCCCGCGCCUGCAGGUGCCAACAGCUGGGCACUGCAGCCCCUCACAGCUGGGAGCACACAGAGUACCUUCAGCAGCUGAUUUGGGGGGGGGGGCUCUGUGGCAGCACACGCACAGGAUCAUCUUCUCGGGCUGGAGAAUAACCUCCUGGUAAACCGUUUCAGCAGAGCACUGCAGGAAAGCCUGAGAACAGAGAGGGAGCAGUCAGCCAGUCCCCUGCUCCACUGGGGUAAGGUUAUUUCUAAGGAACGCAGAGCAGAUCAGAAAGAACAACAGGGAGGAAGCGGGAGGACGGCGGUGAGACCACAAAGCCAACGUCGUUACCUGCUGCCAAAGAGGGAGAAGGGCACGAAUGGGAUGAGAACUGGGGAUCAGCAGUAGCUGAGCCUGCUGGGAAGGGGCACAAGCAUCCAUCUGCACCAUAGCCACGAAGACAGAAUGAUCUCGGGCCCCUCUGCCCUCAGCCCACCUUCUCAGCAAUUGUGCUGCGUGUGCAAUUGCUUUGGAAAGUCACCAGAAAGAUUCUCAGAACUCCAGCACAGCUAACAUUCAUUUCUCCACGUCCCCGUGGGAUUGGGGACCUUCGGAAGCAAACGGUUAAUGCAGCAGAGCGGGACCAUCCAGCUUUGCCUCACCAACACAGAGCUGCUCCUCCAGCAGCUCUGCCAGCGAGGCAGCAUAUGCACUGGAACAAAGAAAAGCCACCGCAGCACCAAUGCUUCAUUAAAGCGUGGUUUACAGCCAAGCCACUCCAGCGAGAGGGCACAGAGCGUGGCACUUCCGAGCAGCUCUUCUCAAUGCCAGGCAGCAGCAGACGCACGCUCAGCCCUGGUCUUGCUGGCAAUUAGUUGCAAUUAGCCUCCUUGGUCAGAUUAGUCCUAGAUGCUGGGGUUGGAAGCGAGUCUUGCAGUCACCUGCUCCCACUUCCACCAGCAAAGACUGGGGCCCAGCAUAUUUGCCGGGGAGUUUGUCUGCCAGCCAAGGGGUUUUCCUGGAGAGAUUCCCUAAAGCGUGCAGAGCAGUUCAUCUGUCUCAAGCAAAGAGAGUGCUCUGCAGGCUGACCUGUGCUGCCAGGGCCAGGAGAGAGAGUGAAAGCUGAGCCGCGGCUCCAAGCAGAGCAGUGAUUUUGUAUGUAUCACACAGGCUAAGGAAGCAGAACAGGAAGGUUCUUACCUUUAAAAUAAAGGUCUUGCCAUGAAAAGGUAUUUCAAAAGUGUAAACAACGUCACCGAAGUCCUGUGCAAGAAACAAGAAAGUUUCAUUUACGUUGGCAAAAUAACAUUCACUGCUUCUACCCAAGGUAAAGCCUGAUGGUCUCAGGGCACUGCAGGAGGGCUGCAGGAUCUGGCCCACUCCAGCACCAUCCCAUAGGGCCAUUCUUGGCCCCAAACUGCUCCUGCUCCCCCACGCCAGGCAGCAAGCCCCAGAACAGGAACGGCACUGAGCCCACUUCAGAUGCCCAUGCACAAAUUUCCAUAAACAAACCAACAUCCAGAGAAGCAGCAGUGAUGAGACAGGAAAAGAAUCCACCCCGUGCCAGCCUGCAAACUCCGUUUCAAGGUCAAAUUCUCUUUGUAGCAAGCUACCAACACCAGGGUACGAGAGAGGGGUGAGUUUGCCAGCACUGCUGUUGUUACCUACAUCUGAGAAGAGACUCCCUGGAGGGGUUAGGGAUGGACAGAUGAUAACCUUUCAUCAUUAGCCCUGUGUUAAACUCUGAUUAGUCUAUUUAAAUCCAUCCCCCUUUGGAUAAAGAAAACAAUCUGCCCAGCUAGUUUGGCAUCAAACAAUGGAUCACUUGACAGGGGAAUUUUAAAUACCAGAUGAGACUGCAGUUUGCAGGACUCUCACCUCAACUGCAUUGCAAGCCCACAAGUAGAAAACAAGGUUGAUUUUCGGGGGGGAGAAGGGGGGCAGAGGCACUUUCACACCACUCUACAGAGACAAAAAGGAGCCCCAGCUACCCCAGAAAACUUUGCUGUAGCUUGAGGAAAAACACAUGGCAGGGCUCCCUGGUACACACUCCGCUAUCCACAGUGCCCCUGUCCUGAGGAAGGGGAUGUACACACAGCUUUGGGGGUAGGGCUGCAGGAGCUGCCUGUGCCCCACACACUCCUGCUCCAAGAAUGGCUGUAGCCCAACCAGCCAGAGCCUCCCCACACCCUGGUGUGUUCCUAAAAGCACGAUGCUCUGCAGCCCUCACAGCCACCAAAGGUGAGCUGCCCACCCCUGCCAGCCUGCUGUUGAGAUGGAGGAGUGACGGCCUCUCUCCCGUCAAACGGGAAGGCAAUUAAACGUCUAAUUAAAUAAGAGGGGGAUUUUACAUUUAACUGAGCUGGAAUAGAUUCCUAAUUCAAUCAGGUAAUUGUAACGCUUGUUAAUUUUUCAUGUUGCAAGGAGGUUUCAAAAGCCUCAUUUGUCCUCCAGUUUUUGCUAAGCCAUCCGUGCUCUUUGCCAGCGCUGCCCAGCAGUGGGGUGUGGGGGACACUUGCAUUGUUUUUCUCAAACUUCCAGUUCUCCUCCUGGGCGAGGAUUUGGUCCACAACUUCCAUAGCUUCUUUGCCUUGUCGGACAUAUUCUUUCUCCUAGGAGAAAAGGGAAUAUUUCAUCAGCAGGGUUUGCAGAAAGCCCCACAUGUGUGUGUGUGUGUGUCUGUGUGUGUGUGUGUGU